CGGUUCGUAGCUCAGCUGGUAGAGCACGUGACUCUUAAUCAUGGGGUCGUGGGUUCGAGCCCCACCGAACCGA
rnacentral:tRNA from 1 species